ACGGGUGAGUAAUGUAUCGGAACGUGCCUAGUAGCGGGGGAUAACUACGCGAAAGCGUAGCUAAUACCGCAUACGCCCUACGGGGGAAAGCAGGGGAUCGCAAGACCUUGCACUAUUAGAGCGGCCGAUAUCGGAUUAGCUAGUUGGUGGGGUAACGGCUCACCAAGGCGACGAUCCGUAGCUGGUUUGAGAGGACGACCAGCCACACUGGGACUGAGACACGGCCCAGACUCCUACGGGAGGCAGCAGUGGGGAAUUUUGGACAAUGGGGGAAACCCUGAUCCAGCCAUCCCGCGUGUGCGAUGAAGGCCUUCGGGUUGUAAAGCACUUUUGGCAGGAAAGAAACGUCAUGGGCUAAUACCCCGUGAAACUGACGGUACCUGCAGAAUAAGCACCGGCUAACUACGUGCCAGCAGCCGCGGUAAUACGUAGGGUGCAAGCGUUAAUCGGAAUUACUGGGCGUAAAGCGUGCGCAGGCGGUUCGGAAAGAAAGAUGUGAAAUCCCAGAGCUUAACUUUGGAACUGCAUUUUUAACUACCGAGCUAGAGUGUGUCAGAGGGAGGUGGAAUUCCGCGUGUAGCAGUG
rnacentral:rRNA from 1 species